AAUAAAGGGUUGUGUUAGACUGCUAUACCUUGAAAUAAUUUCUUAUAAGUCAUUAAUAACUGAAGUAAGCAUUAAUUGAACCUUUAAACAGUUAAACUUACAAUAAUUAUUUUGAAGAUCAUCUUGCCUUAAAAACUUCAAGAUCUUUGAGGGGAUAAUUUGCCAUCUUAGUAUUUAGAAGAAUUGUGUUUGUGUCUAUAUGAGGGAGAUCAGAUUAUAAUAGAAGGUAAAUGGAUACAGUAUUUUGUAUGAUCUGUAACUGUCUUAAAAGCUUUCCUGGAAUUUUAAACUAUUUUCUCUUUUGAUUAAAAAAAAUAGAGGAUGAGAUAUGCACUCAUUACAAGAAUAUUACAUUUCAGGAUUUGGUAAAAUGAAGAGAAAGUUUUGAAUGGGCUGAACAGGAAUUCAAGGACUUCUUAUAAUACAUUCCAGAGCUCAGCAACUCUUUUUUUAUAUUGCCUGCUGUUUGGGAUUAUAUUCAUCAUUGCUGCCUUCAGUUACAGGGCAAAAUGCUGAAUGGCAGAAGGCUGAAGAAAAGCUAAAAGCUCCGUCCUAUUGAGAAGUUCAUCACAGGGAACACUCCACUGAAGUAAUCAGAUGCCUUUCCUGCUGCCCUGAGUCUUUAACUGUCCAAAGGGAGUCCUGAACCCAAAGCUGUUUCAGCUGCAUGCGAUUGUUAGGAUCAUUCACUCAUACCUCUUCGUUUAGGAUAGAGAACAAUCAGGCAAAGAAGGGGGAGGACUAACCCAAGGUCAGAUAAUUAGCUAAGGGCAUCAGAACCCACAGUUCAGGGUUGUUAGUACCACAUCAAGCUCCCUUGCAAAUUAGCUUCAUAAAUUCUAAGCCCACAGGCUCAGGGCUCAUCUGAAAGAGAUGGACCAGAGAGGUGGAGAUGGAGAAAAAAGUCUCCUACCACACACUGGAACCACUUUUACAGAAGUGCCUGUUGUCUCCCCUGCACCCCUGCACUCCCAACCCCAACAAUGCCCGGCAGCAAGCUGUUGCAGAAAGGAAGCAGGCUGCUGCCCCUGCAGUGUUCAGGCCUCCUCCUGGCAGGGCUCCCUCUACCUGAAUCCAUCUCAGGGAAAUGGUCAUCGCUGACUGUGCUGCACAGAGCCUGCAAAGUUAUGUUAAUAAUCUCUCUGGGCCUUAAACUGAAUAACCAAGAUUUUGCACAUGUACCAUUCACUUCCCACUUAAUAUGCACACUCAAUUUACACAGGAAGUAUGCCUAAGGCUCUUUCAAUGACUGUAUGUGACUACACAUAGGGUUUUUCUUUUAUAACAGAUUGGCAAAUGCCUGAGGUGGUAUGAGUGUGGUGUUGCUGGAAAACCUUAGUUGAAAUUCCUAGACUAUAUGAAAUCCUUUUUAAAUCUCCUUAUUCUGAAAACAUAUUUUUUAAAAAAAAAUUUAGACCACUCAUGGGAUUUAAAGUAAAAAGUACAAAUAUACUGUAUUUCGUGACUAUAAUCAAACUGGAGACAUUAUGCAAACAUAGAGCUCUUAUAUUUUCAUUCUUCUACUUUAGGUUGCAAUUGUCUAUCUCUGCAUUAUGUGCAAACCAAAAUGAGAACCGCGGGAAUAAAACACAUGGUUGUGUCCA
rnacentral:lncRNA from 1 species